UGUGCUUCUGCUAUCUAGCCAGAGGUGAAACCUUUCAAGAGACAGGCUGUGAGCAGAAGUCAGGCUCUGCCUGCGUGCAGGCUCACUGAACCUGGCAAGAACAGAGCUGGUAUUGCAAAAACACACACAUUCCUGAGAAGUGCUAGGCACAGGACACUCAUGCAAACACGUUCUAGAAGAGUGGC